AACGAACGUUGGCGGCGUGGAUUAGGCAUGCAAGUCGAACGAAUCCCAGCUUUGUAGCAAUACCGAGCUGGGGGAAGGGGCGAAAGGGGCAGUAAUACAUGGGUAACCUACCCCGGGGACGGGGAUAGCCUUCCUAACGGAUGGGUAAUACCUGGCGAUUUGGCGGAGGGGCAUCUCUCUGCCAGGAAAUGAAUUUCGCCUCGGGAGGGGCUCAUGCGAUAUUAGCUAGUUGGUAGGGUAACGGCCUACCAAGGCAAAGAUGUCUAGCGGGUGUGAGAGCACGACCCGCGCCACUGGCACUGAGACACUGGCCAGACACCUACGGGUGGCUGCAGUCGAGGAUCUUCGGCAAUGGGCGCAAGCCUGACCGAGCGACGCCGCGUGGAUGAUGAAGGCCUUCGGGUUGUAAAAUCCUGUCGAGGGGGAUAAAGGCGCAAGCUUGAUAUAUCCCUGGAGGAAGCACGGGCUAAGUUCGUGCCAGCAGCCGCGGUAAGACGAACCGUGCAAACGUUGUUCGGAAUCACUGGGCUUAAAGGGCGCGUAGGCGGCUUGCAUAGUCGGUGGUGAAAUCCUGCAGCUUAACUGUAGAAGUGCCUCCGAUACUAGCAAGCUCGAGGGAGGUAGGGGUCUGUGGAACUUCUGGUGGAGCGGUGAAAUGCGUUGAUAUCAGAAGGAACGCCGGUGGCGAAAGCGACGGACUGGACCUCUUCUGACGCUGAGGCGCGAAAGCUAGGGGAGCAAACGGG
rnacentral:rRNA from 1 species